rnacentral:rRNA from 1 species
ACGGAGGAUGCGAGCGUUAUCCGGAUUUAUUGGGUUUAAAGGGUGCGCAGGCUGUGAUAUAAGUCAGCGGUGAAAAGCAUCGGCUCAACCGAUGUCUUGCCGUUGAUACUGUAUUACUUGAGUAUAUAUGGCGUAGGCGGAAUGUAGCAUGUAGCGGUGAAAUGCAUAGAUAUGCUACAGAACAUCGAUCGCGAAGGCAGCUUACGAAUAUAUUACUGACGCUCAUGCACGAAAGCGUGGGGAUCAAACAG